rnacentral:misc_RNA from 1 species
GCGAGUUGCAAGACUCCCAAACCAUUGUGAACCUACCUGUACCGUUCCUUCGGCGGGCGGCCUACGCCCUAAGCACGCCGCCCCUUGCGGGCUGGCGGACCCGCCGGAGGCCCCUAAACCCUUACUUCUUUGGCACCUCUGAGUAUACUUUUAAUAAGUCA